UUUGAAAAUUUAAACUUAUUUGUUUUUAGUUGUGAUGUUUAUAAUUUUAAUAAAAAUAAUUUUUUUGUUGUUGUUAAUAGUAUUUAAUAAAGAAAUUUUUUUCUUGGUGAUAAAUAAAAAGUACUGUGAAGGAAAGUUGAAAUAUUUGAAAAUUUAAUUUUAAAAAAGUAUUUUUUAAAAUUAGUACCUUGUGUUUCAGGGAAUUUAAAUAUUAUUUUUGUUAUUUUUAAAUAAUCCCGAAAAUUGGUGAGCUAGUUUAUAAUGAUAGUUAAUGUAGCAUAAUUAUUAUUAAUUAUUUACUAGAAAUGAAAUUUUAUACGCACUAACAAUUAUCUGGUUUUCCGAUAAAUGAAUUAAAUUCAGUUCUUAGUUUAUAAUAUAACUAAGAAAUAAAAAUAGGAGGGAAAAGCUUCUUAUUUAAUAAUAAAUAAACUAUAAAUGAAAAAAUUUUUCUUAUUAAACUAGGCUUAAAAUCAGCCAUGUUAAAAAAUCGUUAUAGGUUAUAUUUCGUUUGUUAAUAUUUGAGAUUAUUUUAGUAACCUUAUCGGAAAUUAUAAUAUAAUUAUCUUGUUUUAGUUAUAAUUAAAUUAUUAGUAUACAAAAUGUUUUGAUAUUUAUUUAACGAGAUAUUUCUUAAAUAUUUAUUAAAAUUAAAAUUGUAUUAAGGAACUCGGCAAUCAUUCCUUCUGCCUGUUUAUCAAAAACAUGUCCAUAUGAUAACGUUUUAUAUGGUCUGGCCUGCUCACUGAUGUUUUAAUUAAAGAGCCGCGGUAUUUUGACCGUGCGAAGGUAGCAUAAUAAUUAGUCUCCUAAUUAGAGGCUUGUAUGAAUGGUCGGACAAGAUGGAAACUGUCUCAAUACAAUAAAUAAAAUUUAAUAUUUAAGUAAAAAAGCUUAAAUGGAAUAGAGGGACGAUAAGACCCUAUAAAGCUUUAUAAUAUUUUUCUUUUUUAUAAAUUGUUCUGUUAUUAACUUAUUUUAGAAUUUGUAUUAUUUUACUGGGGCGGUAAAAGUAUAAUAAAAGACUAACUGCUUUUAUUUUGUAUAACAAUUUUAGUUGGGAAUAAAUUGAUCCAUUAUUAAUGAUUAUAAGAACAAGUUACUUUAGGGAUAACAGCGUAAUUUUUUUUGAGAGUUCUUAUCGAAAAAAAAGUUUGCGACCUCGAUGUUGAAUUAAGGUAGCCUUAAGGUGCAGCAGUUUUAAAGGCAGAUCUGUUCGAUCUUUAAAUCCUUACAUGAUUUGAGUUCAGACCGGCGUGAGCCAGGUUGGUUUCUAUCUUCUAUAUAAAAAUAACUUAUUUUAGUACGAAAGGAUUUGGUAAGUCAAAUAUUUUGUUUUACGUUGAUUAUUAUUAACUG
rnacentral:rRNA from 1 species